rnacentral:lncRNA from 1 species
GGUGUAUUCAGCAAGUGUGAGAACAUAUUCACUUGUGUUUUAAGUGACAUUGAGAGGCACACAUUCUCUGGGUCACUGUGAGAGUGUCCAGGCCUAGGUCAUCAAUUCCAGUCCUGUGUCUGAGUCCCAUGAUUCUGCACCAAGUGUGCCCUGAGUGUGCCCUGGAUAUGCAUAGCACAGAUGGGUUGAAGUGAGCCAGGCUUACAGCUGCCAUGAGGAUGGGCAGAGCUGCUGAGUUCACAGACUGGGGUUUCCUGGGGUCUGGAUGAAGCCCCGAGGAUCAGUGUGGGUACCAUCUACAUUUUAAAAGCCUGGCUAAGUACCAGAGUUGAAGCAGUAAGUCUGAGUUACUCUACCUUGAAGGCUAGAGAAAGUAAAUUUUAUUUUGAAAAUCCAUCUAAUAUAAGUACUUUUUCUACAGUAAGUUGCAAGUAGGUCCUGAGCAGUGAGGAAGGUUUUUGGGCAAGUUUUGCAGAGCUGGGAGUGAGGCCCCACUUGGCAGCAGUGGCCCUUAUCGGGCUUUGGUUCUUCCUUCCACUAUCUGUGGGCUUUCUGUUACCUACCAGACCCU